rnacentral:misc_RNA from 1 species
GAUGAAGAACGUAGCGAAAUGCGAUAAGUAGUGUGAAUUGCAGAAUUCCGUGAAUCAUCGAAUCUUUGAACGCACAUUGCGCCCCCUGGCAUUCCUAGGGGCAUGCCUGUUCGAGCGUCAUUAACAACCAUCAAGCGGGAUCUGUCUGCGCCCGCUUGGCCAUGGGGGAUGGCCGCCCUUCGGGGCGUCCACCCCGGAAAUGCAACGGCGGACAGCCACCAGGGGCACCGGGGCGUAGUAAGUUAUUCUUUCGCCCUGCACCCACGGAUGGACUGCCCAGCCAACUUGAACCCCCACAUCCUAUGGUUGACCUCGGAUCAGGUAGGGAUACCCGCUGAACUUAAGCAUAUCAAUAAGCGGAGGA